rnacentral:lncRNA from 1 species
CCUUUCCGGAGGCACAGCUGGGGACCUGGGAAGAAUGCAGCCAGUGAUGCAGAAAUGAACCAGCGGAGUUCAAUGCAAGUUCUUGGGCAUGUUGUCAGGAGACCUCCCAUUCAUAGGAGAAGUAUGAGCUGGUGUCCCUCUGGUGUGCAGUACUCGGCUGCCCUGAAUGCUGACUUUAAUAUCAGAAGUUUCAGUCUGGAAGGCUUGACAGGAGGAGGUGGUGUUGGAAAUAAGCCAUCCUCAUCUCUAGAAAUAAGCUCUGCAAACUCCAGCGAGCUCAGAAACCCUUUCAGUGGUGAGGAGCAGAGGAGCUCUUUGAUGUCGCUUUCAGAAGAACACCUGGAACCGGACCAGAGACAGCACCAUAGGAUGUUUGACCAGCAGACAUGUUACAGGUCUAAACAACAGGGAUUUAACUACUGUACAUCAGCUAUUUCUUCUCCAUUGACAAAAUCCAUCUCAUUAAUGACAAUCAGUCAUCCUGGAUUAGACAAUUCACGGCCCUUCCACAGUGCCAGUGCCAACCUGACAGAGAGUAUAACAGAAGAGAACUGUAAUUUCCUGCCUCCAAGCCCCUCAAAAAAGAGUUUUGAAGAAAAGAGUGGGACUAAGGUUAGUCGCACCUUCAGCUACAUCAGGAAUAAAAUGUCCAGCAGCAAGAAGAGCAAA